AUUGAACGCUGGCGGCAGGCUUAACACAUGCAAGUCGAGCGGGGGAAGGUAGCUUGCUACCGGACCUAGCGGCGGACGGGUGAGUAAUGCUUAGGAAUCUGCCUAUUAGUGGGGGACAACAUCUCGAAAGGGACGCUAAUACCGCAUACGUCCUACGGGAGAAAGCAGGGGAUCUUCGGACCUUGCGCUAAUAGAUGAGCCUAAGUCGGAUUAGCUAGUUGGUGGGGUAAAGGCCUACCAAGGCGACGAUAUGUAGCGGGUCUGAGAGGAUGAUCCGCCACACUGGGACUGGGACACGGCCCAGACUCCUACGGGAGGUAGCAGUGGGGAAUAUUGGACAAUGGGGGGAACCCUGAUCCAGCCAUGCCGCGUGUGUGAAGAAGGCCUUAUGGUUGUAAAGCACUUUAAGCGAGGAGGAGGCUACUCUAGUUAAUACCUAGGGAUAGUGGACGUUACUCGCAGAAUAAGCACCGGCUAACUCUGUGCCAGCAGCCGCGGUAA
rnacentral:rRNA from 1 species